GAUGAACGCUGGCGGCGUGCUUAACACAUGCAAGUCGAACGAACGACUAUUAACAGAACCUUUCGGGGCGAAGAAUAUAGAAGUUAGUGGCGGACGGGUGCGUAACGCGUGGGUAAUCUGCCUUUGUCAAAGGAAUAACUAUUCGAAAGAAUAGCUAAAACCGUAUAACAUAUUAAUAGGGCAUCCUAAUAAUAUCAAAACGAUAGUGGACAAAGAUGAGCCCGCGUCUGAUUAGCUAGUUGGUGAGAUAAAAGCCCACCAAGGCAACGAUCAGUAGCCGACCUGAGAGGGUGAACGGCCACAUCUGGAACUGAGACACGGUCCAAACUCCUACGGGAGGCAGCAGUGGGGAAUAUUGCACAAUGGGGGGAACCCUGAUGCAGCAACGCCGCGAGAGUGAAGAAGGCAUUCGUGUCGUAAAACUCUGUAGUAGGGGAAGAAAGAAAUGACAGUACCCUAAAAGAAAGCCCCGGCUAACUACGUGCCAGCAGCCGCGGUAAUACGUAGGGGGCAAGCGUUAUCCGGAAUAACUGGGCGUAAAGGGUGCGCAGGUGGUUUAACAAGUUAGUGGUGAAAGGCAUAGGCUCAACCAAUGUAAGCCAUUAAAACUGUUUAACUUGAGUGCAGGAGAGGAAAGUGGAAUUCCUAGUGUAGCGGUGAAAUGCGUAGAUAUUAGGAGGAAUACCAGUGGCGAAGGCGACUUUCUGGACUGCAGACUGACACUGAGGCACGAAAGCGUGGGGAGCAAACAGGAUUAGAUACCCUGGUAGUCCACGCCGUAAACGAUGAGUACUAGGUGUCGGGUGAAGAACUCGGUGCCGAAGUUAACACAUUAAGUACUCCGCCUGGGGAGUACGCUCGCAAGAGUAAAACUCAAAGGAAUCGACGGGGACCCGCACAAGCAGCGGAGCAUGUGGUUUAGUUCGAAGCAACGCGAAGAACCUUAGCUAAGCUUGACAUACCAAUGACAGCCUUUUAGUCGAGGACUUUUACCUGCGGGUAGACAAUGGAUACAGGUGGUGCAUGG
rnacentral:rRNA from 1 species